rnacentral:lncRNA from 1 species
CCCCGCCCCGCGUCGCCUCCCAGCCCUGGCUCCCAGUGCUCCGGGCUUGCUGACGGUACAGGGUGGACAGCCCCGAGACAUUUUCAUCAGAUCUCGUCUCCCGCAGCCCAGCGCUGCUGCCGGGGGUCGGACAGGGCCGAUCCCAGCACCCCUCCCCCGAGCCCUGGCUGGGCGAGAAACCGAGAUGGUGGCUGCAGAAACCGGAGCCCCCGCGCCGGGGCGACCGCGAGGGGCCGAGGCCUUUGAGAGCGCUGCCGCCCCUUGCCAAGAAAUUCUUCCCGUGGAAGACAGUCAUGCUGCCUACCCAAGAGCCUACCCAAGAAGUACUCCACUGUGCAACUGAACCAUCAGUCUUGUGCAACAAGAAGCAAGACAGGCGGGGCAUGGUGGCUCACACAUGUAAUCCCAGUACUUUGGGAGGCCGAGGUGGGUGGAUCACCUGAGGUCAGGAGUUCGAGACCACCCUGGCCAACAUGGCAAAACCCCAUCUCCUCUACUAAAAAUACAAAAAUUAGCUGGGCGUGCUGGCAGGCUCCUGUAAUCCCAGCUACUCAGGAGGCUGAGGCAGGAGAAUCUUUUGAACCUGGGAGGCGGAGGUUGCAGUGAGCUGAGAUCACGCCAUUGCACUCCAGCCUGGGCAACAGAGCGAGACUCUGCCUGAAAAAAGAAAGAAGAAGAAGGAGAAGGAGAAGG